ensembl:snoRNA LOC120097235 small nucleolar RNA SNORA17
ACUGCCCCUAGAGGCAUUGCACAUAUGGCUGCUGUGUCACAUGUGUGCUCUGUCACAGUGUGGCAGAGAGGAGAAAGGUUACAUCUAAGCUUCAUGUUCUGACCUGUGAACAUCUGAAUAAUUAGUAGCCUAACAUU